rnacentral:rRNA from 2 species
CUAGAGACGCUGGCGGCGUGCCUAAUACAUGCAAGUCGAACGAACUCUGGUAUUGAUUGGUGCUUGCAUCAUGAUUUACAUUUGAGUGAGUGGCGAACUGGUGAGUAACACGUGGGAAACCUGCCCAGAAGCGGGGGAUAACACCUGGAAACAGAUGCUAAUACCGCAUAACAACUUGGACCGCAGGGUCCGAGUUUGAAAGAUGGCUUCGGCUAUCACUUUUGGAUGGUCCCGCGGCGUAUUAGCUAGAUGGUGGGGUAACGGCUCACCAUGGCAAUGAUACGUAGCCGACCUGAGAGGGUAAUCGGCCACAUUGGGACUGAGACACGGCCCAAACUCCUACGGGAGGCAGCAGUAGGGAAUCUUCCACAAUGGACGAAAGUCUGAUGGAGCAACGCCGCGUGAGUGAAGAAGGGUUUCGGCUCGUAAAACUCUGUUGUUAAAGAAGAACAUAUCUGAGAGUAACUGUUCAGGUAUUGACGGUAUUUAACCAGAAAGCCACGGCUAACUACGUGCCAGCAGCCGCGGUAAUACGUAGGUGGCAAGCGUUGUCCGGAUUUAUUGGGCGUAAAGCGAGCGCAGGCGGUUUUUUAAGUCUGAUGUGAAAGCCUUCGGCUCUACCCGAAGAAGUGCAUCUGGAAACUGGGAAACUUGAGUGCAGAAGAGGACAGUGGAACUCCAUGUGUAGCGGUGAAAUGCGUAGAUAUAUGGAAGAACACCAGUGGCGAAGGCGGCUGUCUGGUCUGUAACUGACGCUGAGGCUCGAAAGUAUGGGUAGCAAACAGGAUUAGAUACCCUGGUAGUCCAUACCGUAAACGAUGAAUGCUAAGUGUUGGAGGGUUUCCGCCCUUCAGUGCUGCAGCUAACGCAUUAAGCAUUCCGCCUGGGGAGUACGGCCCGCAAGGCUGAAACUCAAAGGAAUUGACGGGGGCCCGCACAAGCGGUGGAGCAUGUGGUUUAAUUCGAAGCUACGCGAAGAACCUUACCAGGUCUUGACAUACUAUGCAAAUCUAAGAGAUUAGACGUUCCCUUCGGGGACAUGGAUACAGGUGGUGCAUGGUUGUCGUCAGCUCGUGUCGUGAGAUGUUGGGUUAAGUCCCGCAACGAGCGCAACCCUUAUUAUCAGUUGCCAGCAUUAAGUUGGGCACUCUGGUGAGACUGCCGGUGACAAACCGGAGGAAGGUGGGGAUGACGUCAAAUCAUCAUGCCCCUUAUGACCUGGGCUACACACGUGCUACAAUGGAUGGUACAACGAGUUGCGAACUCGCGAGAGUAAGCUAAUCUCUUAAAGCCAUUCUCAGUUCGGAUUGUAGGCUGCAACUCGCCUACAUGAAGUCGGAAUCGCUAGUAAUCGCGGAUCAGCAUGCCGCGGUGAAUACGUUCCCGGGCCUUGUACACACCGCCCGUCACACCAUGAGAGUUUGUAACACCCAAAGUCGGUGGGGUAACCUUUUAGGAACCAGCCGCCUAAGGUGGGACAGAUGAUUAGGGGAAGUCGAA